CCUACAGGUGGCAGCAGUGAGGAAUAUUGGUCAAUGGACGAGAGUCUGAACCAGCCAAGUAGCGUGAAGGAUGACUGCCCUAUGGGUUGUAAACUUCUUUUAUAUGGGAAUAAAACAGGGUAUGCCUACCCAAUUGUAUGUACCUUAUGAAUAAGGAUCGGCUAACUCCGUCCCAGCAGCCGCGGUAAUACGGAGGAUCCGAGCGUUUUCCGGAUUUAUUGGGUUUAAAGGGAGCGUAGGUGGAUUGUUAAGUCAGUUGUGAAAGUAUGCGGCUCAACCGUAAAAUUGCAGUUGAAACUGGCCGUCUUGAGUAUCGUAGAGGUAGGCGGAAUUCGUGGUGUAGCGGUGAAAUGCUUAGAUAUCACGAAGAACUCCGAUUGCGAAGGCAGCUCACUGGACUGCAACUGACACUGAUGCGCGAAAGUGUGGGUAUCAAACAGGAUUAGAUACCCGGGUAGUC
rnacentral:rRNA from 1 species